GUGCUCACUUCAGCAGCACAUACACUAAAAUUAGAAAAAUACAGAAAUUAGCACUACCGCACACAAGGAUGACAUGCAAAUUCAUAAAACAUUACAUCGUUUU
ensembl:snRNA U6 U6 spliceosomal RNA